AUCAAUUUCAUUCUUCUGGUGUA
rnacentral:siRNA from 1 species